AGAGAGAGACAUGCGCGCAUAUCAAUAAGCGGAGGAAAAGAAACUAACAAGGAUUCCCUUAGUAACGGCGAGUGAAGCGGGAAGAGCUCAAAUUUGAAAUCUUCAAGGUUUUACCUUGACGAAUUGUAGUUUAAAGAAGUGUUUUCUGCUGAAGUUUUGGUAAAAGUUCUUUGGAAUAGGACAUCAUAGAGGGUGAGAAUCCCGUAUUUGACCAUUAUUUCAGCUUUGUGAUACACUUUCAAAGAGUCGGAUUGUUUGGGAAUGCAGUCCAAAAUGGGUGGUAAAUUUCAUCUAAAGCUAAAUAUUGGCGAGAGACCGAUAGCGAACAAGUACCGUGAGGGAAAGAUGAAAAGAACUUUGAAAAGAGAGUUAAACAGUACGUGAAAUUGUCAAAAGGGAAGCGUUUGACACCAGUGUUGUUUUCUCGAAAAUCAAUUAAAAAUGGCUCGAUUUUGUAUUGCUGAGACCUUAAAAAGCUCACUGUACAUUUUUCGUGUCUUUUUUAAUGCACUUUUCGUUUAACAAGUCAACAUCAGUUUCUUUUGUUGUAAAAGGGUCAUUGGAAGGUGGCUUUCUUUUCGGAGAAAGUGUUUAUAGCCUUUGGCCUCUGCAAUCGAAGAGACUGAGGUCUGCAGCGUAGACUCUUCGGGGUUAGAUACAUUUGUGCUAAGUUAUAGCUUUUUAUAGACAACUUGUUGACUAUAAUUAGUCUUGUAGCUUACUCGCUUACGCUAUUUUACCUACGCUUAGGAUGUUGAAGAUGUAGCACAUCAU
rnacentral:rRNA from 1 species